GUAACACGUAGCGCAUUGAGUAUUUACGCUUACUUUUUUCCUUUCAUUUCUAUGUCCUUCUUAUUUCUUAUUGGUCAAUCCAUUAGGUGAUGGAUUGCUAUCCUAACCAUUGAUUGAAAUGAUCUAACGGUCCAGAUUUCUUUAUUUGUGUUUCUUCCUGUCCUCUCACGCGUGUUCUUUCUUCUUCCUAUGCAAAGUUAAGCUACUAUGUCUCCCUUUCCCUCUCCAUCUCGGUUCAUUUGCUUUCUUCAAAAAACAAUAACUAAUCUAAUAAUCAAUAACCUCUCUAUGUAUUUCUUCCUCAUUGUAUUUGACUGAGUUUGAAUCAGUUUUUUUUGCAGGACGUGGUGAUGUCUGAAGAGCUUGCGAAGGUCCUUUGACGUCGCCAUCGGAACACACCAUAGAAGCUUGCGGGGGAGAAGGUAGGUUGACGACGGAGGAGGCAACCGUGGUCUUCCCAGAUACAACAGCGUCGGCAUUAACUCCAUUCCGAAGAGGAAGGAGGAGGAGGAAGAAGAAGAGAAAGAGGAGGAGGAAGAAGAGAAAGAGGAGGAGGAAGAAGGAGGAGAAGAAAAGGAAGAUGCUGCCGGAGACGGUCACCUGCGGUGGUCGGGAAGUGUAGAUCUACAUAUGUAUUUUUAUAUUUAUAUAAUGCAUAUGUAUAUUUCAAUAAGUAUAUAUACAUGUAUUUAUACUUGUGUAUUUUAUUGUAUAAUUAAUUAAUUUUUUUUUAA